GCCAUUUUGGGUCAGCUGUCCUGGUUCUGUCCCAUCACAGCAACAGAUGCACCCCCACUUGGAACUGAAUUCAAUUGUGCACUGGGAAUUAAACCACUCAGCCAGUCAUUACUUGCUAUCAAUUAAAGCUAUCUUGUGACCCCAUUGAAGAUUCAUGACAACUUGAAGAAGAAGUACUUAUAAAUACUCAGCAAGGUAGAAGCCUACCUGAACUACAUCUGAUGUCACACUACAUCUACUUAAUAGGCCAUCUGUAGGAAAGGUUAUCAUUAACAUGAGCAAGCCAACUCAUGUGUGUACAUGUACAUCCUUUUCUCCUCAUGAUGCACUGGAAGCAAGGAUGGAUUUGGAGGACAAUGGACUGGUUCUUUCUCCACCCACUGUUAAAAAUGAGAGGACAUUUUCAAUUUUCUAACCUAAAUAUCUUGGAGGACUUCAAAAGGAAAUGGAUUUUGAGCUUAAAUUCAAGUGAUAAAGAAACCAAAAACAUUUCUAAUGGUAAGCUACUUUGGACACAUUUCAGGUCCCUCCCAUUUUAUUUCCAAUCUGCUGAACCUACUUGUAUUACUUCAUUCCCGAAGAGGAAGAUAUACAGUGAUGGUGAUGCUUAAAUCAAACAACUGAUGCAGCAACAUUAAUAUUUUUAAUUAUACCACUAAUUGCUAAGAAGAGUUGGAAGCAUUUGUAUCAGUCAUUGUAUUGUCAUAUCUGUCCAUUGUGGUUAUGGAAUCUAGAGUCAUUUAAUUCAGUUAGGAGAAA
rnacentral:lncRNA from 1 species